AAAACAAGAAACUCAAAGGAAUUGACGGGGGCCCGCACAAGCGGCGGAGCAUGUGGCUUAAUUCGAUGCAACGCGAAGAACCUUACCUGGGCUUGACAUGCGGGGUGAAGCCGGUGAAAGCCGGCGCUCUACGGAGCCCGCACAGGUGGUGCAUGGCUGUCGUCAGCUCGUGCCGUGAGGUGUUGCCUUAAGUGGCGCAACGAGCGCAACCCUUGUCCCUAGUUGCCAGCGGGUGAAGCCGGGAACUCUAGGGAGACUGCCGGUGCCAAACCGGAGGAAGGUGGGGAUGAGGUCAAGUCAUCAUGCCCCUUAUGUCCAGGGCUGCACACAUGCUACAAUG
rnacentral:rRNA from 1 species